rnacentral:rRNA from 1 species
ACGCACGCUGGCGGCGUGCUUAACACAUGCACGUCGAACGGAAAGGCCUCUUUCGGGGGGUACUCGAGUGGCGAACGGGUGAGUAACACGUGAGUAACCUGCCCUUGACUUUGGGAUAACUUCAGGAAACUGGGGCUAAUACCGGAUAGGAGCUCCUGCUGCAUGGUGGGGGUUGGAAAGUUUCGGCGGUUGGGGAUGGACUCGCGGCUUAUCAGCUUGUUGGUGGGGUAGUGGCUUACCAAGGCUUUGACGGGUAGCCGGCCUGAGAGGGUGACCGGCCACAUUGGGACUGAGAUACGGCCCAGACUCCUACGGGAGGCAGCAGUGGGGAAUAUUGCACAAUGGGUGGAAGCCUGAUGCAGCAACGCCGUGUGCGGGAUGACGGCCUUCGGGUUGUAAACCGCUUUCGCUCAUGACGAAGCUUUGUGUGACGGUAGUGGGUAAAGAAGCACCGGCUAACUACGUG